rnacentral:rRNA from 1 species
AUUGAACGCUGGCGGCAGGCCUAACACAUGCAAGUCGAGCGGAGCGGCGGACGGGUGAGUAAUGCCUAGGAAUCUGCCUGGUAGUGGGGGAUAACGUCCGGAAACGGGCGCUAAUACCGCAUACUAUCAGAUGAGCCUAGGUGGGAUUAGCUAGUUGGUGGGGUAAAUGCCUACCAAGGCGACGAUCCGUAACUGGUCUGAGAGGAUGAUCGGUCACACUGGAACUGAGACACGGUCCAGACUCCUACGGGAGGCAGCAGUGGGGAAUAUUGCGCAAUGGGCGAAAGCCUGAUAGAGCAACGCCGCGUGUGUGAAGAAGGUCUUCGGAUUGUAAAGCUCUUUAAGUUGGGAAGCGUUACCAACAGAAUAAGCAACGGCUAACUACGUGCCAGCAGCCGCGGUAAUUC